AGACUUUUCCUCAGGGAAGUCUUCCUUUUCCAUUACUCGAGAGGCCCAGGUCAAUGUCCGGAUGGACUCUUUUGAUGAGGACCUUGCACGACCCAGUGGCUUAUUGGCUCAGGAACGCAAACUUUGUCGGGAUCUAGUCCAUAGCAA